UCAGUAUACUUCAUGGCAACCACGAGUCCCAAACUCUUUUUUGGGAAAUUUAAUUUUAUCAAGCCUCGUUAGGCCCAUCGGGCUUAGAUUUUAUAGUAAAGUUAAAAAGUGAACCAAAGGCGUCUCGCGCCACAAUUUAUAUUUGAAAAACCAUAAUUGAAUUAUAUUAAAUUGGUGUUGGGAAGAAUCCGUGCAUUUUUCUUCUCCAUCUCAUCUGGCCCCUUCAGAACACCCAGACAUCCGGCAGCUACGGGAGCUACGAGAAACGAAAAUUGUUCCUUCUCACCAGAAAGGCUACUAAUGUAUUUCUCACCUGUAUCUCCAAAGGUAUGAUUGAUGCCCAACCGAAUCCAGGAAGUUCCAACGCUGUAUUUUCCUAAUCUGUGUUUCUUCUUAACUGUCGUUACAAAGGUAUGUUCUAUACAUAAAAUUGUUCCUUCUCACCAGAAAGGCUACUAAUGUAUUUCUCACCUGUAUCUCCAAAGGUAUGAUUGAUGCCCAACCGAAUCCAGGAAGUUCCAACGCUGUAUUUUCCUAAUCUGUGUUUCUUCUUAACUGUCGUUACAAAGGUAUGUU